GUGUUUCCCCAGGAAGAAGCAAACAAGACAAGUCCUGAGGGUUACCUUGCUCUGUGGCCCAAGCUCUUCUGGAGAGUGCCAGGGGGCGUUUCCUGCAGGGGAGGAGCUGUGCCUGCACCGUGGCUCCUCGGCCAGGGGCUGCUCUGACCGGGCACGUGGAAAUGCCUCAGCCCAGACAGAGAGCACCAAGAGCCCAGAAGGACCCCAAGGAGCAGCUGGCAUUACCUGGGAAUGGAGGUGCCCUGGUGACACCAUGUUGGUCCCUUUGCCUUUCUCCAGCCCGAGGCUGCUCCUCUGCUCGCUCUCUCCAGUCUCAUCCCACAGGGAUCCUCUUCUCCCUUCCCUGCUGGCUGCUGCCAAGGAAGGAGGACACAAUUACACCAGGUUUUCAGCUAAAGGAAUGGCAUCAUCUAUGCCCACUGCUCGUUAUUCACCCAACCAAAAUCUAGAGCAAAUGUUGGUUGGGCUUUAAUAAGAACUUGAAAUAACUUUAAAAC